CCUACGGGAGGCUGCAGUGGGGAAUAUUGGACAAUGGGGGCAACCCUGAUCCAGCCAUGCCGCGUGUGUGAAGAAGGCCCUCGGGUUGUAAAGCACUUUCAGUGAGGAAGAACGCCUGGUGGUUAAUACCCAUCAGGAAAGACAUCACUCACAGAAGAAGCACCGGCUAACUCCGUGCCAGCAGCCGCGGUAAUACGGAGGGUGCGAGCGUUAAUCGGAAUUACUGGGCGUAAAGCGCGCGUAGGUGGCUUGAUAAGCCGGUUGUGAAAGCCCCGGGCUCAACCUGGGAACGGCAUCCGGAACUGUCAAGCUAGAGUGCAGGAGAGGAGGGUAGAAUUCCCGGUGUAGCGGUGAAAUGCGUAGAGAUCGGGAGGAAUACCAGUGGCGAAGGCGGCCUUCUGGACUGUCACUGACACUGAGGUGCGAAAGCGUGGGUAGCAAACAGGAUUAGAUACCCCUGUAGUC
rnacentral:rRNA from 1 species